rnacentral:rRNA from 1 species
CACGUAGGCGGAUUGUUAAGUCGGGGGUGAAAUCCUGGAGCUCAACUCCAGAACUGCCUUCGAUACUGACGAUCUCGAGUUCGGGAGAGGUGAGUGGAACUGCGAGUGUAGAGGUGAAAUUCGUAGAUAUUCGCAAGAACACCAGUGGCGAAGGCGGCUCACUGGCCCGAUACUGACGCUGAGGUGCGAAAGCGUGGGAGCAAACA